rnacentral:lncRNA from 1 species
CCGCUCACUCUAAUAAAAAACAUGUAAUCGUAUUUAUUUUCCUUCCAUUUAGUCAGAGGCGCUGAUGUCGGCCUUGUGAUUGGUGGAACAUGACUUUUGACAAAUCCUGCGCUAUCUGUGAAUCUGUAAUCUGUGUUCGUGUUCGUUGUCGUUCACUUAUUUUAUAUGGUCGGUUAUGUGAUGUGUUUGUGUCACCAUAAAAAGCUGAUAUUCAGUCGUGUUUUUUGAUAUUUUUGUUAUUUCAUAAUCGAGUACCUUUUUAAAGGUCUAAUGGCUCCGUUCAGCUGUUGUGUGCAGACGGUGGAAAAAUUCGACAAGUAAACAUUUAUUUAA